rnacentral:rRNA from 1 species
CUACGGGGUGCUCCAGUGAGGAAUAUUGGUCAAUGGGCGAAAGCCUGAACCAGCCAUGCCGCGUGCAGGAUGACGGCCCUACGGGUUGUAAACUGCUUUUAUACGGGAAGAAACCUCUCUACGUGUAGAGAGCUGACGGUACCGUAGGAAUAAGCAUCGGCUAACUCCGUGCCAGCAGCCGCGGUAAUACGGAGGAUGCAAGCGUGUAUCCGGAUUUAUUAGGUUUAAAGGGUGCGCAGGCGGAAAUAUAAGUCAGUGGUGAAAUCCUACAGCUUAACUGUAGAACUGCCAUUGAUACUGUUUUUCUUGAGUAUAGUUGAGGUAGGCGGAAUGUGUAGUGUAGCGGUGAAAUGCAUAGAUAUUACACAGAACACCGAUUGCGAAGGCAGCUUACUAAACUAUUACUGACGCUCAUGCACGAAAGCGUGGGGAGCGAACAGGAUUAGAUACCCUCGUAGUC